CACACACACACACACACACACACACACACACACACACGGACAUGCACACGCACGGACAUGCAGAAACACACGCACACGGACAUGCAGAAACACACAAACGAACACGGACACGCAGACACACACGGACACGCACACACCCAAACACAUACAUACACACGCACACAAACACACACACACACAUGCACAAACACACACACAAACACACAAACACACACAUGACACACACACCCGAAGGAUCAUUUCCUUGACACCACAGUUUCAAUGUUUAAACGAUUCCCCCCCGCCAGACAACCCGUCAAGCGUAGGUCGGUGGAAAAACAUUAACUUGCUCCCCCCCCCGAAAGAAGCGCUGUUGAUACGUCUCUUUUGGUGCCAGUUUCUGCAACUAGUCUUUUUUUUACUUCCUUCCUAUUUUUUCUCCCCACGUGGAUGGUCAAUUUUUGUUUGUUGUGAGAUUGUCAGAGUAUACAAUCUUUGACCAAUAUGGAUUUUAAAUGGCAGGCGUGCUUUUAAGAAUAACUAAUAUAACAAAUCAAAAUACCUUUGUGCCUAACCAACCAAUCAGAAAAUGACAAAAUAUAUACCUCUGGUAAGCUGCUGUUUACAUUUGUGAUCAUGUUAAGACUGUUAUGUGUAAAUACUUGUACAUUCUUAGCUUAUUUAUUGCACCGCUUAUUAAAAAACGACAUACCAUGUUAGACAGAACAAUAAUGGAGAAAUAUUUUUGGAAAAAUACAUUUUAUUACGAAAUCUCAUGUUACAACUUGCCAUAUUCUUUUUUUUUUUUUUUUACAAGAAUCAAUAGGAAGUGUAUGUCCUGUAACUUGCAAGAAACAACAAUACUGCUUUCUGUCACUGGAGUUGUCUAGAAGCGUGUGCUAUACAUAAAAUCUUUAACUGAGGAAAAAAAACUAAAACCUUUUGCCUUGUUUGUGUACCUUGGUUGGAGUUCUGAAAGCAGAUCUCAGAUCAGACAUAGAUGAAAGCAUAUAUGUCCUAGUCAGAGACUGGCCUAAUGAGAGGGUGGAGUUGGCUUUUUGGACUACAGCAUACAUACCUAAAUAAAUGCUACAGAAGGGACACAAGGACCAAGUGGUUAUUUCACCAUUGGGAGUCAGUUAAAAGCGAUGUCUUAUGUUGAACAAGUGAAAUAUAUUACCCUGGUGCCAGCUGGUGGCAUUUGUGUUAUUUAUUUUUUUAAAUUAUAAUUAUCAUGUAAUUUAUAUCCCAAUAUCUAUCCAUCUGUUUAAAUAAAAACCAAAAUAGUUAUACGACAUGUGUGUUUAUUUAGGUCAUGGGACGUGGCUCUAGUCCUGCUGGUCUGACUGAUUUUGGUAACGUAACAAUGUGAUGUGAAUUGGAUUGUCCAAUCUAACCGUAUUGUGACCUGUGCAUCGUUUGCGCAGAGGAGAGAACUGUUUGUUAUCAGCACGGGAGCCAUGGGUUCAAGUCCAACCAAGACCAGUCUCCAUUGAAGCCAGAUCUAAUGAUUUUGGAGACCUAAUGAUGAGAUUUCGGAUACUUAACGAUUGAAAUGUCAAACUUAACCAACGUUCAAUCAUAUCAGCAGCUGGAGUACAUUCAAAUAUUUAAUCGGUUAAUCUGAGGAAAAUGUCACACCAGAGGUUCUCACGGACCAAAGCAGCCAUCAUCGUCAUGCAUUUAUAACAAAAAUAUUAUCCAGAACUGUGGAGCCAAUGGAACAAGGGGAGAAGGGUCUGCUGCUGAUUAACAAGCUGUACACUGAGCGCUCCACACGCGCUCCACACACACACACACACACACACACACACACACACACACCCA
ensembl:lncRNA